rnacentral:rRNA from 1 species
GGUAGCACAGAGAGCUUGCUCUUGGGUGACGAGUGGCGGACGGGUGAGUAAUGUCUGGGAAACUGCCCGAUGGAGGGGGAUAACUACUGGAAACGGUAGCUAAUACCGCAUAACGUCUACGGACCAAAGUGGGGGACCUUCGGGCCUCACACCAUCGGAUGUGCCCAGAUGGGAUUAGCUGGUAGGUGGGGUAACGGCUCACCUAGGCGACGAUCCCUAGCUGGUCUGAGAGGAUGACCAGCCACACUGGAACUGAGACACGGUCCAGACUCCUACGGGAGGCAGCAGUGGGGAAUAUUGCACAAUGGGCGCAAGCCUGAUGCAGCCAUGCCGCGUGUAUGAAGAAGGCCU